rnacentral:lncRNA from 1 species
GUCCGGCUACUAUAUUUUAUGAGUAUUGGCACCUUUAUACUCAUAAGUUUUCGACCCUUAGAUUUAUUCAUUAAUCAUUUUUAUCCGUUAGAUCAUACUAUUUAACAAUACACCACUAACUCUAGGGACCCCUGUCAUUCUAAGUGGGGACCACCAUCAUCCUAACCAACAUCCCAUCAAUCAAUGGUUAAAAAUUUAUGAGUACAAGGAGGUCUAUACUUAUAAAAGUAUAGUAGCCCCAGUAUAUAUAUAUAGGGGCAAUU